rnacentral:rRNA from 1 species
CUUAACAUUUAGACCACCCUUCACCCAUCUGGUCUGAUCCCCAAAGCGACACAGUGGUGGGCCUGGUUGGUACUUGGAUGAGAGACCACCUGGAGAUCCGGGGUACUUGGC